rnacentral:rRNA from 1 species
CCGGCAAACGGGUGCGGAACACGUACGCAACCUUCCUUUAACUGGAGAAUAGCCCCUCGAAAGAGGGAUUAAUACUCCGUAACAUAUUGAAAAGGCAUCUUUUUAAUAUUAUAGCUCCGGCGGUUGAAGAUGGGCGUGCGCCUGAUUAGAUAGUUGGCGGGGUAACGGCCCACCAAGUCUGCGAUCAGUAACUGGUGUGAGAGCACGACCAGUCACACGGGCACUGAGACACGGGCCCG